AGAGAAAGACAAGACCGCCAAGCUCGUAUUUGGGAGACGGAUCUCCCAUGCUGAUACACCACGCACGUGCCAUGGCAGAGACGGGCUCAUAUGAGUUUAUGAGCGGACACUUAUCAAGGUAUAAGCGUGCGGGAGUAUGUGAGAUGGAGGUCUACCUACCGGUAAAUACUUGACGGAGGUGGAGCACGGGUGUCAAUACGUUUAACUGUUAUCGUGACAGACGACGUGAUCUUCAAUGUUGUGUACACCAAGAGUGAUCUUUCAUCUGGGCCCUCCUAUACUUGAUCUCGGCUUCUCACGAUAUCCAUCCAGGGAACCUCGGCAAGUAUACCCACAUACCAGUACAAGUACAAGUACAUGUACAAGCAUGUCUGAUCGCUCCUCGAAAGCCAAAGUGGCUUGUACAUUAUCCCCGGCUAAAGUCCGAUCGGGUCGGAGAUAGCGUGUGGGCACUACAAGUAUAUCAGCUUGUACUGCAAGUUACAGCAUACCAGUACCUAGCACCAGCUAGGGAAACAGACCGACCGAGCUAGGAACUACCGCAGCAUUUCGUCAGGCCAUUUACUUCUACUCCAGGCAGCAUGAACCAACUACAGUACAUUCGAUUGCUACUUGUACGUUUCAAUCCCAUGACCAAGCUUAUAUCACGUUAUUUGGAGCUCUGCUUAAAGUCUGGAUGUUACUUCCACCCUGAGCGUGAUCUGAGAAGCCGGUGGAAUAUGCAACAGCGUCCUAAUUAUAACACUGGUAACACCAUGUCUGAGCUUGGGGAGAAUAGACAUGAUGCUAUAGUAUGUACAUGGAAAGAAGGGUUUAAUGACAUGCUGUAAAACAGCUGAAGGUCAGAUAAAAAAAAUUGAAGGCGGAUCAUGUGAGUAGAACUUCUCCGAAUCGAUAGUUGCAACAGUACAUACGAGUACGCGAGUUCUGUAGCGACUACUACUGUAUGAUCCAUGUUGGCGGCUGCAACAGAUAUCGGUGCUUCUCUUCAGACUCUAUAAAUCAAAGAGAUGGGUGU
rnacentral:misc_RNA from 1 species